CCAGGCUCCUGGGGCUGGGCAAGCGGAAAGAGGUCUGAACUGCCUCUGCCUCCGCGGUCUCCGGCAG
ensembl:miRNA